UCGAUGCAACGCGAAAAACCUUACCUACCCUUGACAUGUCUGGAAUCCUUGAGAGAUCAGGGAGUGCCUUCGGGAGCCAGAACACAGGUGCUGCAUGGCUGUCGUCAGCUCGUGUCGUGAGAUGUUGGGUUAAGUCCCGCAACGAGCGCAACCCUUGUCGCUAAUUGCCAUCAUUUAGUUGGGCACUUUAGCGAGACUGCCGGUGACAAACCGGAGGAAGGUGGGGAUGACGUCAAGUCCUCAUGGCCCUUAUGGGUAGGGCUUCACACGUCAUACAAUGGUCGGUACAGAGGGUUGCCAAGCCGCGAGGUGGAGCUAAUCUCAAAAAGCCGAUCGUAGUCCGGAUCGUAGUCUGCAACUCGACUACGUGAAGUCGGAAUCGCUAGUAAUCGUGGAUCAGCAUGCCACGGUGAAUACGUUCCCGGGUCUUGUACACACCGCCCGUCACACCAUGGGAGUGGGUUUCACCAGAAGUAGGUAGCUUAACCUUCGGGAGGGCGCUUACCACGGUGAGAUUCAUGACUGGGGUGAAGUCGUAACAAGGUAGCC
rnacentral:rRNA from 1 species